rnacentral:lncRNA from 1 species
UUGUCUGCCUGAGAUGCUCAGGUCAAACAAUGCACUGUGCAAUGAAUGAUCAAAACGAUCAUGCUCGCCAAGCCAGCACAAAGUGAGGAGUAACCCAAUGCAAUUUUUUUAAAAAUAAGAUUUGAAGCUCUGAUUAGUCACCUCAGUGGCUAAUCAGCUGCUUCCUUGCUCUGCUGUGGGUAUCUGUUUGGCCACGGUGGGAACAGGAUGCCAGCCCAGAGAGGAUUUCGUUUCAGAAGUCUUCUGGGACACUUGAUGUAUUAUUAUGACAAUUGCAAAACGAGAGAGAGAGAGAGAGAGGGGGGGGUGGGCUAGAUGGUUGCAUAUCCCUCAUCUGGCCCUCCGAAACAGAACUUAGGAGUCUCUCCUAGCCUUGACUUCCUGGUGCUACCAAAAAAAAAAAAAGACAACAACAACAACACCUGUCAAGUCUAAUUCAUGGGAGUUGUAGUCCAAACCCAGAAGAUAGCUUGGAUCUGGGGUGCUCUGCAUGGAGAAACUGCUCAGCCUCUCAGGCAGGUUGCAGGUGGCGGUGCUCCAAGCUGCCAGCAUACCUGACCCACCCUCUGCUGUUCCCUGUAAGUUUUUGGGGCAGGGAGGCCAUAUGGUACCUGGGCCGUCUCAGCCCCCUGGCCCGCGUGGCUCCGGCAGUGAAAAGAACUCAAGCCACGAGGGGGUGGGAAACAUAUCCUUACGUCUUGGCCCCGUUGUCUCAUUAAUAGUUGAUUCUGCUAAGAGCUUCUCUUAAUGACUGUACGUCUUCCUUAUAAAGUGAAGCCUGGACGGGAGAGAUACAUCAAAGGGGGCAAUUAAAGACACUAUUUAAGCUGCUCAGUUUGCUGGAGGAAAAUCAUUAGCCUUGUCAAUGGCUGGCAGGAGAAACAGGCUGGAGUCUGAGAAGGAGGCAACAUCGCCCCUGGGAGGCUGGUGGGGGGCAGCUGGGGACCCCAGAAAAGGCAUCCCCUGUGGAUGAAAUGCUGGGAAACCUCAGCAUCUUUCAAGGCCCAAAUCAUCAAGGGAUGGCAUGACAAAGCUCUCUUAUUUUCGGGAGGAUAAAUCCCAGCCUCCCCACCGGCUGUGGAGA